rnacentral:rRNA from 1 species
GUGAACGCUGGCGGUAGGCCUAACACCUGCAAGUCGAACGGCAGCACCGUAAGAGCUUGCUCUUACGGGUGGCGAGUGGCGGACGGGUGAGGAAUACAUCGGAAUCUACUUUUUCGUGGGGGAUAACGUAGGGAAACUUACGCUAAUACCGCAUACGACCUACGGGUGAAAGCAGGGGAUCUUCGGACCUUGCGCGACUGAAUGAGCCGAUGUCGGAUUAGCUAGUUGGCGGGGUAAAGGCCCACCAAGGCGACGAUCCGUAGCUGGUCUGAGAGGAUGAUCAGCCACACUGGAACUGAGACACGGUCCAGACUCCUACGGGAGGCAGCAGUGGGGAAUAUUGGACAAUGGGCGCAAGCCUGAUCCAGCCAUACCGCGUGGGUGAAGAAGGCCUUCGGGUUGUAAAGCCCUUUUGUUGGGAAAGAAAAGCAGCAGGUUAAUACCCCGCUGUUCUGACGGUACCCAAAGAAUAAGCACCGGCUAACUUCGUG